rnacentral:rRNA from 1 species
CCUACGGGAGGCAGCAGUGGGGAAUAUUGGACAAUGGGCGAAAGCCUGAUCCAGCAAUGCCGCGUGAGUGAUGAAGGCCUUAGGGUUGUAAAGCUCUUUUACCAGGGAUGAUAAUGACAGUACCUGGAGAAUAAGCUCCGGCUAACUCCGUGCCAGCAGCCGCGGUAAUACGGAGGGAGCUAGCGUUGUUCGGAAUUACUGGGCGUAAAGCGUACGUAGGCGGUUAUUCAAGUCAGAGGUGAAAGCCUGGAGCUCAACUCCAGAACUGCCUUUGAAACUAGGUAGCUAGAAUCACGGAGAGGUUAGUGGAAUUCCGAGUGUAGAGGUGAAAUUCGUAGAUAUUCGGAAGAACACCAGUGGCGAAGGCGACUAACUGGACGUGUAUUGACGCUGAGGUACGAAAGCGUGGGGAGCAAACAGGAUUAGAUACCCUGGUAGUCCACGCCGUAAACGAUGAUAACUAGCUGUUCGGUCUCUACGAGACUGAGUGGCGCAGCUACGACAUUAAGUUAUCCGUCCGUCGGGUAGGUACGGUCGGCGAAGAAUUAAAACUUAAAACUUAAGUAAGUUAGUACGGCGUGAGACGUGCCGACGGACGACGACGAGGGAGGUAGG